GACGAACGCUGGCGGCGUGCCUAAUACAUGCAAGUAGAACGCUGAAGAGAGGAGCUUGCUCUUCUUGGAUGAGUUGCGAACGGGUGAGUAACGCGUAGGUAACCUGCCUUGUAGCGGGGGAUAACUAUUGGAAACGAUAGCUAAUACCGCAUAACAAUGGAUGACACAUGUCAUUUAUUUGAAAGGGGCAAUUGCUCCACUACAAGAUGGACCUGCGUUGUAUUAGCUAGUAGGUGAGGUAACGGCUCACCUAGGCGACGAUACAUAGCCGACCUGAGAGGGUGAUCGGCCACACUGGGACUGAGACACGGCCCAGACUCCUACGGGAGGCAGCAGUAGGGAAUCUUCGGCAAUGGGGGCAACCCUGACCGAGCAACGCCGCGUGAGUGAAGAAGGUUUUCGGAUCGUAAAGCUCUGUUGUAAGUCAAGAACGAGUGUGAGAGUGGAAAGUUCACACUGUGACGGUAGCUUACCAGAAAGGGACGGCUAACUACGUGCCAGCAGCCGCGGUAAUACGUAGGUCCCGAGCGUUGUCCGGAUUUAUUGGGCGUAAAGCGAGCGCAGGCGGUUUGAUAAGUCUGAAGUUAAAGGCUGUGGCUCAACCAUAGUUCGCUUUGGAAACUGUCAAACUUGAGUGCAGAAGGGGAGAGUGGAAUUCCAUGUGUAGCGGUGAAGUGCGUAGAUAUAUGGAGGAACACCGGUGGCGAAAGCGGCUCUCUGGUCUGUAACUGACGCUGAGGCUCGAAAGCGUGGGGAGCGAACAGGAUUAGAUACCCUGGUAGUCCACGCCGUAAACGAUGAGUGCUAGGUGUUGGAUCCUUUCCGGGAUUCAGUGCCGCAGCUAACGCAUUAAGCACUCCGCCUGGGGAGUACGACCGCAAGGUUGAAACUCAAAGGAAUUGACGGGGGCCCGCACAAGCGGUGGAGCAUGUGGUUUAAUUCGAAGCAACGCGAAGAACCUUACCAGGUCUUGACAUCCCGAUGCUAUUUCUAGAGAUAGAAAGUUACUUCGGUACAUCGGUGACAGGUGGUGCAUGGUUGUCGUCAGCUCGUGUCGUGAGAUGUUGGGUUAAGUCCCGCAACGAGCGCAACCCCUAUUGUUAGUUGCCAUCAUUCAGUUGGGCACUCUAGCGAGACUGCCGGUAAUAAACCGGAGGAAGGUGGGGAUGACGUCAAAUCAUCAUGCCCCUUAUGACCUGGGCUACACACGUGCUACAAUGGUUGGUACAACGAGUUGCGAGUCGGUGACGGCAAGCUAAUCUCUUAAAGCCAAUCUCAGUUCGGAUUGUAGGCUGCAACUCGCCUACAUGAAGUCGGAAUCGCUAGUAAUCGCGGAUCAGCACGCCGCGGUGAAUACGUUCCCGGGCCU
rnacentral:rRNA from 1 species